UCCAGNCCUUAAAANCCCCNCAAGUCGAGCGCGGGAAGCGAGCUGAAGCCCUUCGGGGUGGACGCUCGUGGAACGAGCGGCGGACGGGUGAGUAACACGUGGGCAACCUACCUGUGAGACGGGGAUAACUCCGGGAAACCGGGGCUAAUACCGGAUAACGCAUCGAACCGCAUGGUUCGAUGAUCAAAGAUGGCUUCUCGCUAUCACUCACAGAUGGGCCCGCGGCGCAUUAGUUAGUUGGUGAGGUAAAGGCUCACCAAGGCGACGAUGCGUAGCCGACCUGAGAGGGUGAUCGGCCACACUGGGACUGAGACACGGCCCAGACUCCUACGGGAGGCAGCAGUAGGGAAUCAUCCGCAAUGGACGCAAGUCUGACGGUGCAACGCCGCGUGAGCGAUGAAGGUCUUCGGAUCGUAAAGCUCUGUUGUGAGGGAAGAACAAGUGCCGUUCGAAUAGGGCGGCACCUUGACGGUACCUCACCAGAAAGCCCCGGCUAACUACGUGCCAGCAGCCGCGGUAAUACGUAGGGGGCAAGCGUUGUCCGGAAUUAUUGGGCGUAAAGCGCGCGCAGGCGGUUCCUUAAGUCUGAUGUGAAAGGCCACAGCUCAACUGUGGAGGGCCAUUGGAAACUGGGGAACUUGAGGACAGAAGAGGAGAGCGGAAUUCCACGUGUAGCGGUGAAAUGCGUAGAUAUGUGGAGGAACACCAGUGGCGAAGGCGGCUCUCUGGUCUGUAACUGACGCUGAGGCGCGAAAGCAUGGGUAGCGAACAGGAUUAGAUACCCUGGUAGUCCAUGCCGUAAACGUUGAGUGCUAGGUGNUUAGGGGGUCCAACCCUUAGUGCUGCAGUUAACGCAAUAAGCACUCCGCCUGGGGAGUACGGCCGCAAGGCUGAAACUCAAAGGAAUUGACGGGGGCCUGCACAAGCGGUGGNANCAUGUGGUUUUAAUUCGACGCAACGCGAAGAACCUUUACCAGGUCUUGACAUCUUCGGACAGCCCAAGAGAUUGGGUCUUCCCUUCGGGGACCGAAUGACAGGUGGGNGCNUGGUUGUCNUCANCUCGUGUCGUGAGANNUUGGG
rnacentral:rRNA from 1 species